rnacentral:rRNA from 3 species
UACUGAAAUGUAAUAACUUCUAUUGAAAGGUUCCAGAGUAGGCGCUACA